ensembl:lncRNA
UGACUGUCAGCAACCAAUCACGUGCUGCUCACCUGCCCGCGUCGCAAAGACAAUCACAACAGGUGUAGACGGUCCGCGUAUUAAACGUCACCAGGGGAAUAAAACGAUGAAUUCCCCCCGUUUCGACGAACGGAGGAAAGACCAGCUGAUCUGACCCGACCUGACAACUAAACCAAAAUACAACAUAAUCCAGAUGGCUGUUUUACGUGUGCAUAUCCAUUUCCUCAAAUCUAUAUUGAUGAUUGAAUAGUACUAAACAAAUUGUAUUUGUUUUAUUGCUUCUUAUAUUUUGAAUUGAAGAAAGUCAUUUGAAUAGUCUUUCAAUCAUAAACCGCUCUUCCAGUCAUGAAUGAAGAGUAAAGUUGAUCUAUUUAUUGACUUUGAACAAAAUAAAACAUUCAUGCCAGUUCAUGCAUUUAUAGUGAUAUAAUAUCCGGUGCCUGGCACACUUGAUUGUUUGAUUAUCAAUGCAAGGUUUCAUGUUCUCAUGAUAAGACCCGACUAAUCGAACGAUGAAACGCUCCGGACUCCAUUAGCCGUGCUAACCAGAGGCCACACAAGUCUGAGUGAGCGGAGUUCAUUUUGUGUCAGUCGACGUUCGGGAAGUUCGAGCCAAUCAUUGUGAUUAUUUGUGAGGAAGACAAUUCCUGGUGAGAACCAGCGGCUCUGCAGAGUGUAACUCGGGCCGAUUAAGUUAUGACAACAACCCCACUGCGUCCGAGCCGUCCGGACUUCAAUGCC